rnacentral:lncRNA from 1 species
UUAAGUGGUGCCAGAAGAAGACUGAAGGAUACCUGAACAUUGAUAUCACCAACUUCAGCAGCAGCUGGAACGACGGGCUGGCCUUCUGUGCUGUUCUCCACACCUACCUGCCUGCCCACAUCCCCUACCUGGAGCUCUCCAGCCAGGACAAGGUGAGAUAGACCCCCUCAGUCCACGGACCUGAAAGUUCUUAGUGUGGAAAUUAUAUACAUGUAGUUCGUUCAUCACAAAUGUAUUUUCUCCCUUUUUUCCUUCAGAAGCGAAAUUUCACACUGGCUUUCCAGGCCGCUGAAAGUGUCGGGAUCAAGUCCUCAUUGGACAUUGGAGAGAUGGUGCACACAGAGAGGCCUGACUGGCAGAGUGUGAUGACCUACGUCACUGCCAUCUACAAGUACUUUGAGACGUGACCCAUCUUCAAGCCUGAACACCUCGCUUGCCCACACGCACGUGUCCAGCCAGGGCUGUCAUCGCAACACUGGACAACCUUAGAGCAACAUCAGCCAAUGCUACCUGCGAAUAUGUCUGGGACCCUGAGUUCUACCUUAAGCUGCAUCACUUAACUUCACCAAUAUAUUCCAUGUUUACACUGCAAUGUUCUACAAACUCUUGGCUUGGGAUGCUCAUGUGGCUUCUCAGUUUGAUUGAAUUCGUCAGACUAGGCUGUGGAUAGACUGAGGCCAUGGGUUGAACUGUCCUUCAACUUUCCCUGGGUCAGUGACUUCCUGUAUACUCAAGUCUUCUGGCCUCUUGACCCCAGUCCUAUGUCCUACUGUCUGCAGUAGCCUACACCAUCAUUACCUCCAACUUUACACUGUAGUUCAUGUUUAGCUAGCUGAAACAAUGUGUAUGGUUUUGGAUUUGGAAUACUGCGGAGAACAGGAUUGCCUUUUUAAAAUGCCUUUGGCUUUGUCCAUUUUGUCUCUUCGCACAAUGACUUGAGGGUAAGUGUGAUUUACCUGACUGACAGAGGGUCCAGCUUAACUGUAGCUGUUCUAACAAGGCUGUUUUAGCCCAAUGCUUUGCUGUGAUAUUUAUUCCAAAGAGAUAAUAACUUCAUACGAAUCAAUGCCAUGUUUGUCUCUUGUUUUUGCCAAUUAUGACAAUGAGCAUUGACCCAUUAGGGAUAUUAAUAAUACAUAGUGCUUUUUGAAGGACCCAAAGUCAGAGUUCAAUCGCAUUGACGUCUUUUACGCCAGUUAUUAUUUGUCUCAGUCCGUUGUGUCCAAACUCUGUAAGCGUGAUGGUUGACCACCACGGCCAGUCUCUGGUUUUACAGUGAGGUCCCUGUUGCACACCCAUCCAUAAUGGUUGUACAGUGAGGUCCCUGUAGCACACCCAUCCAUAAUGGUUGUACAGUGAGGUCCCUGUAGCACACCCAUCCAUAAUGGUUGUACAGUGAGGUCCCUGUUGCACACCCAUCCAUAAUGGUUGUACAGUGAGGUCCCUGUUGCACACCCAUCCAUAAAUAGGCUGAACAACACAGGGAGCUGACCUGAUAAGCUAACAGUUUAGGCAUUAAGGUAAAAGCACCACUUACUGUUCAGCAAAUCCUCCCUGGUUUCAAAGCACAACAAGGGGAUGUGAGGCUCUUUACUUAAAUGGAAUGUGUUUAAACCUUCAUCGAUGCCAUAGAAACCACCAUGUUUCAAAACCGUUGGGUGUACUACACACAGUAAAGUCCCUUCCUCCAGCACAGGGAAAUCAUAUUAGCUAUGCAUGUUCCCACACAUGGGAAAAGCUUACAAUCCUCAUUUGCUUUGAAAUAGUUAAAUAAGUAUGUAUGAGAACUUAUGAGUUGUGUUUUUGGUACAUUGGAAUAUUCUCCUUAUACUGAGAUACCAUGUGAAUAUUUCAUAACAUUUUGUUGCUCAUAAAGGCAUCUGAUAAGGUUUCCACAGCUAAGAUGAGCUACAGUCAUUUAAAUGGUACUAGUCAUUGCCAGGAAUCAAGGCUAAUAGACAGUGUAUAAAACAUUAGGAACACCUUCCCUCGGAAUAGCCUCAAUUCGUCAGGGCAUGGACUCUACAAGAUUGGCUUGUGGAGUCCAUGUUGGCUCCAAUGCUUUCCACAGUUGUGUCAAGUUGGCUGGAUGUCCUUGGGGUUGUGGACCAUUCUUGAUACACAAGGGAAACUGUUGAGCAUGAAAAAUCCAGCAGCGUUGCAGUUCUUGACACAAAACAGUGUGCCUGGCAGCUAGUUCCAUACCCUGUUCAAAGUCAGUCAAAUAUUUUGUCUCGUCCAUUUACCCUCUGAAUGGCACAUACACAAUCCAUGUCUUAAUUGUGUCAAGGCUUAAAAAUCUUUUAACCUGUCUCCUCCCCUUCAUCUACACUGAUUUAAGUGGAUUUAACAGGUGACAUCAAUAGGGGAUCAUAGACUGACCAGGUGGAUCCAGGGGAAAGCUAUGUCAUGGAAAGAGCAGUUGUUCUUAAUGUUUUGUAUUCUCACUGUAAAGUAAACGUUCCAGUUAGGGUAACUUGGUGUAACACGCACUCUGCCUGUACAUCUCACAGGAACCACUUCAUGUCACAAUUUUUCCCCAACACUUUCCCCUGGUUGUCACUGUUUCUCAACAAAAAAGUUAUAUUGGUCUCAUCACAAAAUG